ensembl:lncRNA
AACUCAUCUGUGUCGCUUUUUCAGGUUAAGAUACCUGGUUUUUGGCGCUGGAUUUCUAUAAGACCAGAAAUAGGCCUCUCUUUUUUUUUUUUUUUUUUCUAGAAGAAAAUACUGUUAAAAAUAUUACCUAGUAUAUAUUAUGUGCUUAUCAUUUUAAUGGAGAAUAAGACCUGACAGAAAAAGUGCCUUAGAAUCUCUGGAAAGGUUUUCAUUGGAGAAAUGGAAUUUUUAGGGUGGGAGUUCCCACUAUGACAAAAGACAGUUCUGGACACUUGUGGACCAUUGCCUGUAUGGCAUGUAAUGACACUUCCAUAUGCACCGAUAACUAAUUAAGUGCAUGUAUCUAAUGUAAGAUGGAAGAAUUCAUCUAUCACGUUAACAAAUGUAAAUACGCUGUAUUAAUGCUGAGAUCAUGAAGACUUAGAGGAACUUGAUGUUUAUCUAUGUUUUUCCAGUUAUAGAAAGCAUUUUUUUUUUGAGGUGAGAAGAGACCAGUAUGAUUAUCUGGGCCUCUGAGAGAAUUGUGGCAGGAAAUGAGAUGCUCAGAAGCUCAGAUGAAGCUGUAGCAUCUUGCCUGGCAAUGGGAGCCUUUCCACCAGACUGACAAUGGAUCAUCAGUUUCAGUUUAUUAGAAAUCUUGCUCUUGAAUAACUGAAGCUCAGGUAUCGUGGAAGA